rnacentral:rRNA from 1 species
GGCUUAGAGUUUGAUCAUGGCUCAGGAUGAACGCUGGCGGCGUGCUUAACACAUGCAAGUCGAACGGAGACAUAUUUUGAAGUUUUCGGAUGGAAAGAUAUGAUCUUAGUGGCGGACGGGUGAGUAAUGUAUGAGCAACCUGCCUUUAAGAGGGGGACAACAGUUGGAAACGACUGCUAAUACCGCAUAAUACGAAUUUGUCGCAUGACAGAUUUGUCAAAGGAGCAAUCCGCUUAAAGAUGGGCUCAUAUCUGAUUAGGUAGUUGGAGAGGUAACGGCUCACCAAGCCUACGAUCAGUAGCCGGACUGAGAGGUUGAACGGCCACAUUGGAACUGAGAGACGGUCCAGACUCCUACGGGAGGCAGCAGUGGGGAAUAUUGGGCAAUGGGCGCAAGCCUGACCCAGCAACGCCGCGUGAAGGAAGAAGGUCUUCGGAUUGUAAACUUUUGUCUUAUGGGACGAUAAUGACGGUACCAUAGGAGGAAGCCACGACUAACUACGUGCCAGCAGUCGCGGUAAUACGUAGGUGGCGAGCGUUAUCCGGAAUUAUUGGGUGUAAAGGGUGCGUAGGCGGGGAGUAAAGUCAGAUGUGAAAGGCGUGUGCUCAACAUACGGAUUGCAUUUGAAACUUACUUUCUUGAGUGAAGUAGAGGCAAGCG